CCCUUGUGGAGGAGGACGCCGAAGGUGGGGCUAAUGACUGGGGUGAAGUCGUAACAAGGUAGCCGUACCGGAAGGUGCGGCUGGAUCACCUCCUAACAGGGAGACAACAAAAUGUUUAAUAUUAUUAUUUUGUCACCUUAGGUCGAUCGGUAUCUCACGUUCUUAAUUUAUUAAGAAUUUCAUUUCCUAAGUUUUUCUAGGUCACACCCAUUAUUUUUCCUGGGCCAUUAGCUCAGGUGGUUAGAGCGCACCCCUGAUAAGGGUGAGGUCCCUGGUUCAAGUCCAGGAUGGCCCAUAUCUCUAUGUUGGGGGUAUAGCUCAGUUGGUAGAGCGCCUGCUUUGCAAGCAGGAUGUCAGCGGUUCGAGUCCGCUUACCUCCACUGAUUACCACCUCUUCCAUAACCGGUAGAAAGGAAUUGUUUUGAGUUGUGAUCAUUAUUCUGAACGAAUCUAGCUUCCUAAUGAAAUCAUUAAGAUGCUGGAUUCAUUGAAUUAAUUUCAUUGUUUUCAGAGAACCUUGACAACUGCAUAGAUUAUUUUUAAAGACAAUAAGCAUCUUUAAUGAUGCAGAUUUAUUAUUUGUGCGAAUGCAUUAAUAACAAUUCUAUUGAGCUGAUGCUUCAAUUUUUGAAGUUAUUGGUCAAGCUACAAAGGGCUCACGGAGGAUACCUAGGCACACAGAGGC
rnacentral:misc_RNA from 1 species